GCUUUCUUUAUAAUACACACAUUCAUCUACAAUCGCUUUCUCUUUUUUUUUGUUCAACUGGAUAAAUUCAAAUUAGCAAAAGGCCCGUGGGCUGGUUCAAUACAAAGAUAGGUGGGCUUUAGCAAGCCUAUCGGCUGGCCCAUUUGAAGAACGGGGAGUAAACUCAAAACGACAAAAGGUGAAGGUUGAAGACGCAGAGAAAACUAAGGAGUCGAUAUCGGAGAGAACGCCGUGGAGCUCAAUCGUUCAUUUCCUCCCGUUGAUAGCCCAAAUGAGCUCUUGGGAAUCUGAUCGAAGGCAGAUAUUAUGGUAGUCGAGGGACGCCGCGUUGAGAAGCGCUCCUCGGAUUGCGAGAGCCUCCGCCAUGCAUGGAGAGGAGACAUGAUGGAGCGAGAUGCUUUUGCUAGCAACUUCCAAUCCCUCUUGAUUAGUGAAGAUCCAAGCGAGUCCCGCUGAUUGCGAUUUCCAAGAGGCGUCGGUGUUGCAAAAGAUGGUAGAAGACGGUAGAGAUCCGUAUCGAGCUUCUGAAGCCGGAGAGAUUCCCGCUUUCUCUAUUUAUUUUUCUUUUGUAAUCACGUUUUCUUUUGAGGCAAAAGAAAGGUAUUUUUUUAUGUCUGAAACCUAGAUUAUUACUCGUCUGCAAUCGCUUUCACUUUUUUUUCUUGUAUAAUCACAUUUUCUUUUGAAGCAAAAGAAAUGUAUUUUUUCAUGUUUGAAACUUAGAUUAUUAGGCCACCAUUAACCGGAGUGUUUACUCCGGUGCUUAACUUUAAAAAAAAAAAAAAUGGAAGCAGAGCGCUUAAACAAGCGCAGUAAGCGCC
rnacentral:lncRNA from 1 species